UGCGAUAAGUAGUGUGAAUUGCAGAAUUCAGUGAAUCAUCGAAUCUUUGAACGCACAUUGCGCCCCUUGGUAUUCCAUGGGGCAUGCCUGUUCGAGCGUCAUCUG
rnacentral:rRNA from 1 species